rnacentral:rRNA from 1 species
GCAUAUCAAUAAGCGGAGGAAAAGAAACCAACAGGGAUUGCCUUAGUAACGGCGAGUGAAGCGGCAACAGCUCAAAUUUGAAAUCUGCCUUCAGGCCGAAUUGUAAUUUGUAGAAGAUGCUUCGGGUGUAGCACUGGUUUAAGUUCCUUGGAACAGGACGUCAUAGAGGGUGAGAAUCCCGUAUGUGACUAGCUGCCCUCACCCGUGUGAAGCUCUUUCAACGAGUCGAGUUGUUUGGGAAUGCAGCUCAAAAUGGGUGGUAUAUUUCAUCUAAAGCUAAAUAUUGGCCAGAGACCGAUAGCGCACAAGUAGAGUGAUCGAAAGAUGAAAAGCACUUUGGAAAGAGAGUUAAACAGUACGUGAAAUUGUUGAAAGGGAAGCGCUUGCAACCAGACUUGCGCGUUGUCGAUCAUCCAGGGUUCUCCCUCGUGCACUCGGCAGCGCUCAGGCCAGCAUCGGUUUCAGUGGUUAGAUAAAGGCCCUCGGAAUGUAGCUCCUCCGGGAGUGUUAUAGCCCUGGGUGCAAUGUAGCCUACCGGGACCGAGGAUCGCGCUUCGGCUAGGAUGCUGGCGUAAUGGUUGUAAGCGACCCGUCUUGAAACACGGACC